GAUGGACGCUAGCUACAGGCUUAACACAUGCAAGUCGCGGGGCAGCAUGGGGGUUGCUUGCAAUCCCCGAUGGCGACCGGCGCACGGGUGAGUAACGCGUAUCCAACCUGCCCUUCACCACGGGAUAACCCGGCGAAAGUCGGACUAAUACCGUAUGUUGUCCAUUGACGGCAUCCGAUUUGGACGAAAGGUUUGGCGGUGAAGGAUGGGGAUGCGUCCGAUUAGCUGGACGGCGGGGUGACGGCCCACCGUGGCGACGAUCGGUAGGGGUUCUGAGAGGAAGGUCCCCCACACUGGAACUGAGACACGGUCCAGACUCCUACGGGAGGCAGCAGUGAGGAAUAUUGGUCAAUGGGCGUAAGCCUGAACCAGCCAAGUAGCGUGCAGGAUGACGGCCCUAUGGGUGGUAAACUGCUUUUAUGCGGGGAUAAAGUGGCCCACGUGUGGGUUUUUGCAGGUACCGCAUGAAUAAGGACCGGCUAAUUCCGUG
rnacentral:rRNA from 1 species